GACGAACGCUGGCGGCGUGCUUAACACAUGCAAGUCGAACGGAAAGGCCCUGCUUUUGUGGGGUGCUCGAGUGGCGAACGGGUGAGUAACACGUGAGUAACCUGCCCUUGACUUUGGGAUAACUUCAGGAAACUGGGGCUAAUACCGGAUAGGAGCUCCCCUUCCUGGGUGGGGGUGGGAAAGUUUGGGCGGUUGGGGUUGAACUCGCGGCUUAUCAGUUUGUUGGUGGGGUAGUGGCUUACCAAGGCUUUGACGGGUAGCCGGCCUGAGAGGGUGACCGGCCACAUUGGGACUGAGAUACGGCCCAGACUCCUACGGGAGGCAGCAGUGGGGAAUAUUGCACAAUGGGCGGAAGCCUGAUGCAGCAACGCCGCGUGCGGGAUGACGGCCUUCGGGUUGUAAACCGCUUUCGCCUGUGACGAAGCGUGAGUGACGGUAAUGGGUAAAGAAGCACCGGCUAACUACGUG
rnacentral:rRNA from 1 species